UCAGUAUGUUAAAAAUUUGAAUUGGCGC
rnacentral:piRNA from 1 species